GACGAACGCUGGCGGCGUGCCUAAUACAUGCAAGUAGAACGCUGAAGAGAGGAGCUUGCUCUUCUUGGAUGAGUUGCGAACGGGUGAGUAACGCGUAGGUAACCUGCCUUGUAGCGGGGGAUAACUAUUGGAAACGAUAGCUAAUACCGCAUAACAAUGGAUGACACAUGUCAUUUAUUUGAAAGGGGCAAUUGCUCCACUACAAGAUGGACCUGCGUUGUAUUAGCUAGUAGGUGAGGUAACGGCUCACCUAGGCGACGAUACAUAGCCGACCUGAGAGGGUGAUCGGCCACACUGGGACUGAGACACGGCCCAGACUCCUACGGGAGGCAGCAGUAGGGAAUCUUCGGCAAUGGGGGCAACCCUGACCGAGCAACGCCGCGUGAGUGAAGAAGGUUUUCGGAUCGUAAAGCUCUGUUGUAAGUCAAGAACGAGUGUGAGAGUGGAAAGUUCACACUGUGACGGUAGCUUACCAGAAAGGGACGGCUAACUACGUGCCAGCAGCCGCGGUAAUACGUAGGUCCCGAGCGUUGUCCGGAUUUAUUGGGCGUAAAGCGAGCGCAGGCGGUUUGAUAAGUCUGAAGUUAAAGGCUGUGGCUCAACCAUAGUUCGCUUUGGAAACUGUCAAACUUGAGUGCAGAAGGGGAGAGUGGAAUUCCAUGUGUAGCGGUGAAAUGCGUAGAUAUAUGGAGGAACACCGGUGGCGAAAGCGGCUCUCUGGUCUGUAACUGACGCUGAGGCUCGAAAGCGUGGGGAGCGAACAGGAUUAGAUACCCUGGUAGUCCACGCCGUAAACGAUGAGUGCUAGGUGUUGGAUCCUUUCCGGGAUUCAGUGCCGCAGCUAACGCAUUAAGCACUCCGCCUGGGGAGUACGACCGCAAGGUUGAAACUCAAAGGAAUUGACGGGGGCCCGCACAAGCGGUGGAGCAUGUGGUUUAAUUCGAAGCAACGCGAAGAACCUUACCAGGUCUUGACAUCCCGAUGCUAUUUCUAGAGAUAGAAAGUUACUUCGGUACAUCGGUGACAGGUGGUGCAUGGUUGUCGUCAGCUCGUGUCGUGAGAUGUUGGGUUAAGUCCCGCAACGAGCGCAACCCCUAUUGUUAGUUGCCAUCAUUCAGUUGGGCACUCUAGCGAGACUGCCGGUAAUAAACCGGAGGAAGGUGGGGAUGACGUCAAAUCAUCAUGCCCCUUAUGACCUGGGCUACACACGUGCUACAAUGGUUGGUACAACGAGUUGCGAGUCGGUGACGGCAAGCCAAUCUCUUAAAGCCAAUCUCAGUUCGGAUUGUAGGCUGCAACUCGCCUACAUGAAGUCGGAAUCGCUAGUAAUCGCGGAUCAGCACGCCGCGGUGAAUACGUUCCCGGGCCUUGUACACACCGCCCGUCACACCACGAGAGUUUGUAACACCCGAAGUCGGUGAGGUAACCUUUUGGAGCCAGCCGCCUAAGGUGGGAUAGAUGAUUGGGGUG
rnacentral:rRNA from 1 species